UACGGGGGGGGUAAGCGUUGUUCGGAAUUACUGGGCGUAAAGGGCUCGUAGGCGGCCAACUAAGUCGGACGUGAAAUCCCUCAGCUUAACUGGGGAACUGCGUCCGAUACUGGAUGGCUUGGAUUUGGGAGAGGGAUGCGGAAUUCCAGGUGUAGCGGUGAAAUGCGUAGAUAUCUGGAGGAACACCGGUGGCGGAGGCGGCAUCCUGGACCAAUAUUGACGCUGAGGAGCGAAAGCCAGGGGAGCAAACGGG
rnacentral:rRNA from 1 species